GAUCCCAUCAUCUGGAAGAAGGCAUUUACGGUGGUUACAAAUUGACUUUUUAUGGAGAAACUAAGACUGUUUCUAACCUAUUGCACUGAUAUUAUAUUUAGUUAAUAUUUUAUGAAAGAAAAGUCCUCCCAUUAGAGGUAGCAAAUUGCUUUAUAAUUAUAGUACUUCACAAGGACGGACUGCUUCAUUGGACGGCAAAGGCACAAAAUACAGUCUCCUUUACCUCGUAACUUCUCUGUGGAGUCCUUGUGGUAAGUGGCUCUCCCUCCCGUGAUUCUUUUCUCCUGAUUUCAAAUAUUAGUUUAAUUUGCACAGGUAAUCAUGCUGCAUAUUCGGUACGGGUUAAUGAAAUACUGAACUAUCGUGGAAGCAGAGCUGGGGCACACCGGGGACCCUAGAGAACAUCACAUGGUUGGUGGUGUUGCCACAAAAAAAGCCUUCCUUUGAUUGAAAUGUGCUGCGUAGCAGAGGCCCUGCCGCGUCCCAUUAGCAGUUGUCAUCCCCGGGCACGCCCAUGGAGUCUUAGCCCGCACCUGGGACCCUCUGCCCAUGGCCUUUCUCUGGUGCAAGAAGCAACUCUGGACCAGUGAUGAAUGGUUGGGAUUCUGGGAAACCCAGCCUAAGACAUGCUGCUAUCCCAGGACAUCAGGAUAAUCAAUUGAUAAGAACUCAUGGGGAGUCUUCUGCGUGCCCAGCCUUGUGUCAGGUACCAUGGGGCUAUUAAGCUAUUUAAGAUAUUUACUCUUACACUGUUCAGAAAUCCCUUGCAAAUUAGGUUGGAAGAUAAGGCAUACACAUUUAAAACAAUUAGUGGACCAGACAGCAUUAUACAGGGCCAUAAUAAAGUGUAGUGU